GCCAGCUAACAGGGAGCUUUGCAGCAGGCAGGGAAUACUCCUGAAACUGCAAAUGUCCCAGGAGGGAGGUGAGAGAGGCUUCCAAUGCUGAGCACAGAGAGGUCUGCUCAGUCCUCCUGCAAACAGCUGAUGAGUGGCAAAACUUGCUUUCAGAAUUGAUAAAAGCACCCCUAAGGGAGCUGAUGGCUUACAGAAUUACUUCCAAGAGGAAACUCUUUCACUCAGAUGACUGCAAACUGGAUCAAACUGAACUCCACAAGCACGCUGCAUUUUGAAAAGUAAUUGUGCUCAGGAUCGUCCUGGCUGCUGUGUUGUAAACAGACUACCUGGGCUAAAGGGCAGAAGGAGAUCAGUUAUGGCAAUCCUGGCUACUGAUGAUGAAAACUUGGACCCAGGAGUUGCAAUGGAAGCAAUGAAAAGAGCAGAAGUUUCUGGAUUCAUUUUAAAUUUAGAACUGACCAGUAUUAACAGGUGCAGUCUUGUAAGGUGAUUGAGUUAUGAUGGCUCCACCUUCACAUGUGGGAUUAGCACCCUUUUAAGAGGGCUCCAAGUGGAAGGGAGCACUCUCUUGCUCUUCUGCUCUUCUGCCAUGUGAGACGGCAGUGCUCCUCCCCUCCAGAGGACGCAACAAUAAGAUGCCAUCUUGGAAGCUGAAAGCAGCCCUCACCAGAUGCCACUUCUGCUAGUGCCUUGAUCUUGAACUUUCCAGCCUCCAGAAUCAUG
rnacentral:lncRNA from 1 species